CAAAGUCAUACCCAUAUAGAUGGAAAGAAUCUGUUCUGUUUGGAUAGCUCUGUGUUUUCAAUUUUCAAUAUUUUACUGGCACUUACUCCUUGAGAGACACUCAGAAGUCUGCGCAGCAAAGUCUUGGAGAUCUUACAGCCUGGGGAUGAUCGCCAGGGCUGCAUGGGAGCAGUGUGAUGGUGCAACUCCCUGAUGAUCUUCAGCAACCAUAUGGAAACCCACCAAUGGGAAAUAAUGGAAUAGUGAAAACCCAUUAAAGUUACCUUGGAGGACAAAGGUUCCACUUGAAAGACUAUUUGUUCACUUGAUGCGCCCCACCAGACAUGAUGGAGCACAUCUGGACUAUCCCAAGGGACUACCCCAAAAUAAGAAGUAACCUCUCCCCACUUACUCUGGCCCUUUGCAAUCAGAGGGAAUUUUCCCCAUAAAGUCUUUGGUAUCCUCCCUCCAGCUAUGACUACUGCCCAGAGCUGCCAGCUCUGCAAGGAUUAGCUGUUGGUUACCCUUGAGUCUCCCAUCACACAGCAGUCUGAAUGAUACCAGAAAGGGAAAAAUGAAUUGUCUUUCUCUGGAUUGAUGGGAAAGUCCUGUAGUGCCCACCGACUGGUGGCUGAACGCCUUCUCUUCAGCCAUCUGGCCUCGGAGUGUGUGAAGGCAGGCGAUAACAGCUGAAGCUGGAAAACAGAAGCAGAAAAGGGCAGAGGAAGACAUUUGUGCUAACAGAAACUGUUCUGCUGGAUUACAGGUGUUGUAUUUCUUUGGCAACAAAUGUCAGACAUUUGUAGAA
ensembl:lncRNA